UUGCAUAGUAUACAGUGUUCAAGGUCAGGCCAGAUCUAUAUCUGUGGACAUCAGGCCUUCAACCUCCUCUUCUGUCGCUCUUUCCCUGGCUUGCCCUGCUCAGCCCACGGGACUCCUUGCUCUUUCUCAAAUGGCAUGGAGAAGGUGCUUGCAUCUCAGAACUUCCACACUUGUUCCCUCUUCCUGGGGAGCUCAUCCCUCCCUUAUUUGCUUUCUGCUUAUUUCAGGUCUGUGCUCAAAUGUCACCUUCCCUGAGGCCUUUGUCAUCCAACGUCAAAGACUGAGCCCCACCGUUACCCUCAGCCUCUAGUCCCCUUGUUGCUGGCAGUUGCUAUAAAGUUGGCACCAACUGAUGGGGGCUUUAUAUAUAUCAGAACAAAACAUUGCCCAGGUCCUACACCAUCUUCAUGAUCAUUUGGUAUGUUUAUGUGCGUUAUUGCAGCUAUUACGUCAGUCUAUCUCACUGAGGUUUUUCCUAGUUUUUGUUGGCUUUCUACUUUACCAAACAUGAUGUUCUUUUCUAGUGAUUGGUCUUUCCUCAUGACAUAUCCAAUGUCACCAAGCCAAAGUCUUGUCAUCUUCACUUCUAAGGAAUAUUCUGGUUGUAGUUCUUCUAAGACUGAUUGAUUCAUAGUUUUGGCAGUCCACGGUAUGCUCAAUAUUCUUUGGCAACAUUUAUUUUUCUACAUAGCUCUUACCAUCAUCUAACACUAUACUUUUAGCUGUAUUUAUUUAUUUCCUGUCCCCUACUCCUCUAGAAUGUGAGCUCAUGGAGUAGGAACACAGUCUGUUUUAUUCACAGCUGCACCUCCAGAGCCCAGAAAAUCCUGACAUAUACAGUAAAAUCUGCAAAAGCCGGAACCUGUGUAAGGCGGAAAUGUGUCAGAGAAGGAAAGCUCAAAUAUUUUCUACUAAUAGAAAGCAGUAGAAAAAUGUAAGACUGCACCCUAUCAAAGGUGGAAAAUUUUUCGAGACCUGGAAAAACAAGGCAGUCCCGUCAAGUUCCGGCUCUUACAGGUUUCACUGUAGUAAGUGCUCAGUAACUAUUUGUUGAAUGAAUUGGAUGGACUUGCUUCAUCAUGUAUUUACUCCAAUAUCCUAUAAAGCCUGUAAUUCAUGGCACCCAUAAAAUAAUCUGUUCCUCUCUCAGGGCAAUUAUUGCAUUCUGUCCCAUAUUUGCAUUACUUGUAUAAACCCAAAACCCACCAUUACUUGUAUGUGAGUAUUACAUUUCCCUAUAAGGAAACCCUGGUGGUAUAGUGGUUACAAGUUUGGCUUCUAACGAAAAGGUCGGCAGUUCAAAUCCACCAGGUGCUCCUUAGAAACCCUAUGGGGUAGUUCUAUUCUAUAGGGUCGCUAUGAGUAAGAAUCAACUCGACGGCAAUGGGUUUGGCUUCGUUUUUUGGGUUGGACUCCAAGGUUUUUUAAGGCAGAACCUAUACCCUACUCAUCAUUAAGGUAACUAGUACAUAAUAAACAUUAAAAAAAAAAAAAGAAUAUGUUUUACCUUAAUGGCCCAGUGCCUUGAAGGAUAGGAAGAAUAAAAAUCCCUAAAAUAAGAGUCAAUCCAUUUCUUACAUUUUGUUACCAAGGCAAGAAAAUAUAUUAUAUCUUAGAAACAUUUCAACAAAGAAACAAGUAAAAUAGUGUUGUGUUUAGCCCUCAUUUCACUGUGAAAUCCAGUUAGCUGGUAAAUGCUUUUUUUUGAACACUCUGACUUAGCUGCUAUAAGGGCUCAUUGGAAAAAGAGAAAUGAAUCUUACUUUCAUUAAACCAGGGAAAUGAAACAUAACAUACAAAUGCGUGCCAAAGUCAUUGAAGAUAUUCAAUUGAAAACAAGAACUAACUUCUCUGGGUACAGAAAAAAAUUUUUUUUGCAUCAUUUGGCAUGGUAGUAUGUAUGUCAUUGUGGUCUUUAGCUUCCUGUAAAAUUCGUGACUAUGUUUGCCCUGAUUUCCAUUAGGUUUUAGCUCCAAAUUUUCAAAAUGAAUGUGAUAGGUGCAAUGAACCAGGCUUUAGUGGGCCAAAAAAAUGGACAGAGCAAGUAGAGACAGACUAGAGCUUAGAAAAGAGAUCACGGGAGAAAGGUAGGUGAUGUUUAUGGGAGUGCUAUGGAUUGAAUUGUGUCCCCCCUCUCCCCCCGCCCCCCAAAAAAUAUAUUGAAGUCCCAGCCUCUGGUAUCUGUGAACAUUACCUUGUCUGAAAAUAGGAUCUUUGAAGAUGUUAACCAUUUAGGCUAACAUGGGGUCAUCCUGGAGUAGGGCGGGUCCUACUCCAAUUUGACUGUUGUCCUUAUGAAAGAGGAGGAGAGACCCAGAGAGACAGAGGGAAGACAGUCACAUGAGCACAGAGUUCUGCUGCAGCUGCAAGCCAAGGAGCACACUAAGGCUACCAGAGCUGAAAAAGGCAAGAAUGCAUCUUCUUCUGCAGUCUUCAAGAGAAGCUGGUCCUGCCAACACCUUGAAUUCAGACUACUGGCCUCCAGAACUGUAAGACAGUAAUGUCCUGUUCUUAUAAGUCACCCAAUUUGUGGUACUUUGUUACAGCCGUCCUAGGAACCUAAACCAGGCAAUCUAAGAGAAGCAAAAAGGAAGCAACUUGGAGAAUGUAGCAUCACAAAGUCCAAAUGAAGUUUCCAGUAGCUACCAUAGGAAGUGCUGAAGUUUUGGGCUAAGUGACUGCUUCCCAAUGGAUUGUGAUCAGAACAAAAGCCUGCUAGAUGACGGGAAGGAUCAUUUCCAAGGGCUCCAUCGUUUUCAAGGGAGAAAAUUGAAACUUUGCUGUAAUCAAGAAUUGCCUGUUCUGCUUCCGGCAUUGAGCUUCCAUGAGGUGGUGUAUAACACAUGCUCUGCAUUCGUCUACCUAAAUCAGGUUUAAAGCUGGGGCCUGAAACUUGUAUCAAAAUUCCAAAUGCUGGUUUUCCCCAGAGGAAGGACUAAGGUUCACAAAGUCAGGGAGAUUGAAAAGAGGGAGGCGAGGAAUAGGAAACAGUGUGAAUCCAAGAGGAAGGUCAAAAGGCUCCUUCUCCUGAGAGCUCCAAGCUUUAGUCCAACAAUUUCCUGGACAUGUGGGUAGAGUUAACUGAAAAGUGAAAUAAAAAAAUAUUUCUUAUGCCUCUUACUCUUCCUUUAUAAGUGCUUCUAUAUUUAAAGCCUUCACAGAGUAAUGAUAAGGACAAGAACUAUCAAACAAACGAACACUGAUUUUCACACAGCCCACAUUAGAAUACAAUUUAAGAAAACAGAAAAUUAUCCUGGAUUAUGAAACGUUAUGAUUUCUGAACUUUCCUGGGGCUUAAUUAUGGUAAAAAAAAGACAUGGUGGAGAUGUCUUACGCCCUCGUCUAACUUCACAAGGGGAAGGAGAACCAUUAUCAACAUCAACAGCCCAAGGCUGAUUCCUAUGAGGCAGAGGUCAGACAUCAUCAGCCGUCCCUCCCACAGUAAUCUCUACUUCUCUGCUGGGUUCAAUAAUUCAUUGCAAUGGCAACACAGAACUCACAGACCUUACUCACAGUUACGGAAUUUAUUCGGGAAGUAAAAGGUUACAAUUCAGGAUCAGGAAGGACUUAGGAUAUAGUUCUUCCAUCAAGACAGCCUCUGCUCAGCAAUGUCCGCUCUCUCUGUCUGGCCCUUGGCCUCUCAGUCUGGCCUCUGCCCUGCUCAAGCAAGUGUUACAAAGCUCUUUAUUUCCUCCAGUAAGUGCCCAGAGGCACCCAACUCCGCCAGCAAGCCUUAACCCAAAGGCACUUAACUUUAUCACUCCUUGGGCCAGAAAGCUCACUGUGAUGUCUCCUGCCAGUCUCCUGGUUCUGCUGUCUCUGCUACCAUUUCUCUGCUUCUUACUGUCUUGCUGUUUCCAGUAUUAUAGCUCUCUUUCUCUGUCUCCUGGGUCUAGGAAGGUCUCAGUGCAGGGAUCCCAGGUCCAAAGGACACUCUCCGCUCCCGUCUCUUCUUCUUGGUGGUAGUCAGAUCCCCUUCUGCUCCGGGAUUAACUCUCUUUUAAGCCUAACAGGAUGGCAAUACUGACCAAUCCCCUCGUUAGGGUUCCAUACACUUUAUUUCAUGGUCGCACCCCCACAAGGGUGCCAAGCACCUUAUUGACAUUAUUAGCAAGUUAUCCAAUCUCUUUGGUGGGCCACAAGCACCUAAUUUGCAUAGUCUCAUCCAGUCAUUUGGUAGGGGUUAAAAGACUAUGGCUAGAAGAGCAAUAUUAAGUAAUUUUCUACACAGCAAUUAUUUUAAUAGCAGCUUUAUUGAGAUAUAAUUCUCAUAUCAUAAAAUUUACCCUUUGAAAACACACAAAUCAGUGGCUUUUAGGAUAUUCAAAGAAUUGUAUAAUCCUCACUACUAAGCUUAGAACAUUUUCAUCACCCCCAAAAGAAACCCCAUACCCAUUAGCAGUCUCUCCCUAUCCCCCACUACCCCUUGAUCCCUGGAAAUCACUUAUCUACUAUCUGUCUCUAUAUGUUUGCCUAUUCUAAACAUUUCGUAUAUAUGGAAACAUACAAUAUUUGGUCUUCUUCCACUUGGCAUAAUGUUUCCAAGAUUCACCCAUGUUGUAGCAUAUAUAAAUACUGCAUUCCUUUUUACUGUCAAAUUUUUAAACUGAAAAGAUCAAGUUCAAUAGUCCAAUAAAUCCUAUUUGCUGGAUGUUUAUUACCUGGAGAAGCCUUUUUGUAUUAGCUUGAUGUGAUUCACUCCAUUUCUGGGCUUGACUAAAGAACAACUUGGUAAGUAUAAUUCCACUCCUGCCAGGGCUCUGGCUGAAAACAAAACGCAAGCACAAAUUGAGUAAUUUGAGGAGACAACUUAUGGCGCAGCAGUUGAGAGCCCAGCUGCUAACCAAAAGGCCAGCAGUUUGAAUCCACCAGCUGCUCCUUGGAAACCCUAUGGGGCAGUUCUACUCUGUCCUAUAGGGUGGCUAUGAGUUGGAAUUGACUCCACGACAAUGGCUUGGUUUUUUUGGUACUAAAAGGACUAUUCAGGAAAUUGUGGGCAGAAUGUGGAUUCUACAUGAUAGUGCAGGAUCUAACAAGUAGAAGGAACAGCGGGCUCCUAUGGACCUCCAGGCCUGAGGGGCAAUGAAGGAAGCAGUGUCUAUAUCCCAGAGAGAGAAAGAGAGCUGUGUGGAGAGGGCUACCUGACAGGAGCGGGAUGAUAGGCGAGAGAUAACCUUAGAGGGCCAGGAAGUUAGGGAGCCUGGCAGAACUCUCCACUUAAGAGCAGCUGCAGUAGGACAGGAAGGGAAACUGGGCUGAGUGGGUACUUCCUGGUGACCCACGUGUCCAGAGAGAAAGUACUACAGAGGGAUCAGAGUGACGAGUGAGCCAGUGAGGUGAGUGUGUGGUUCCAUUCCUCCCCAGUGACAUCUCUAAAUCUUCAGUAAAGUUACAGAGACCAUGAGAUACUUGGCGAGAAGAUCUUCUUUUACUUUUUUUAAAUUAAAAACUAGAAUAAGGUUAAACUUAGAAAGUGGGUUUGAAUGCAGAGAUACAAAAAAGAGAAAAUAGUGUCAAAAACUCAUAGAAAAAUCAUGGAGAGGGCUUUAUUUUUUCCUGACCCAUGCAAAUCCUCAGAGGGUAGGGACAGAAGUUGGGAGGAGGGCUUGAGUAACGUCCAGGGGACCUGGAUACAUUUAUAUCCAGAAACAAAGAACCAAACAUUUUAGACGGCUCUCUCACGCUUCUUUAGUUAAAGGAAAUUUAAAAUGCGUGUGCCAUUAUUUCUCGUUCAAUAUUAUAAGUUUUUUCUCUUGUUUAGUUAUUAUUGCAAUAGUGACUAUUGUUAUUAUCGUUUAGUUUGUACUGCAAUAACAUUGCUUUUCCCCUUUCAUUGCAAAUGAACAGUAUCACAGCAAUAUUAUAGAUUAAAUAUGCUUUGUUUGUUAUUUUGAAAACUAACCAUCACUUGUAUAAUUUCUGUUACGACCUGCAUUUCGAUCCCGAAUAACAGGCUUUAAAACAAACUUGUGUAAUGUACCUGUGUGUGAGCUGGAGACUGUUGGUCUUAACUGCUGAGUCUAAGCAAACUGCCAGGAUGAGAUAGUCAGGAGAGAAGGAAGUGGGGGGAACAAAGAAACGAGCUUCUUUUUAUAGGGAGAAAAAGACAUACAGAGUGGUAGGAAUAUUUGGGUAGUGCUGACCAGAACGGAAAUUUAUUGUAUUGAAAGAAGGCAACAUAUUAGAUUAAAAACAUGUUGUCAGUGAGACAGUGAGACAGGACUCGCUGGAACAGGAUCAGUUGGGCCCUUUCCCCUGCCUCCCCAGCACAAAGGCUGGGAAAAAGACAAGCAGGCCAGAGAGUGGACUAAACAACCUGGUACAACCAUAAACCACCUCCUGGAGAGUAGAACAGAACACACAGGCCCUGUGGGCAAACUGUUCUGCCUGAGGGGUGGUAUGAACGGAAAUGUUCCAAGAUGUUGCAAAUAAACUGUUUAUACCGUUCUUGCAGGACUCCACAGGUACAGAAUGUGUGCAAAAGAAGUAAAAACAACCACUGUUUGUCCUUCCCGUGCCUGCCAAAGGGGGUGAUGUGACAAAGGGGAACCAGUGAGCCUGCGUCACAUUCCAUAAUGAGUUAUGUCAAGGAGAACAAAAGGACUUCCCUUUUGAAGACGAAAUCCUGCGCAGUCACCUGCAUUUGGGUUUCCUAAGCCCUUCUCAGAAAUCUCCACCUCCCUCCCCCCAUCCGCCACCAGAACCUCAUGAAUAAACAUCAAAACCCAUCCUCCCCUCCUUGCUGAAACCCGUAAAUACUUGGUUCAUGGGCAAAUCAGUAAGACAGUCUCUCUGGAGGUUCUAGCCCUUACUGUCUCAUUUUGCUAGCUGCUGGCAAAGUAAAUUCGCUUGUGUGACUCCAGGUUGCCUCAAUAGUCUUACUGGGCUGCAAGAAUCUGGUUGGGUUCAACUGAGGAAGGAGUCCUCAGUAACAUCAGGAGUUCUGAAGAAUAUAUAUUUUCCAGCAAGGCGUUGAGACAGAGAAACUAGAUAAAGAGAAAUUGGUUGCAGAAUGUUCACAUUCUUGGGAUCAACCAAAGUGAAGCAAGCCAAGUUCACAGUUGAAGUUAGUCCAAAUGGAGAGAGGUUCCAGCUAAAUUCAUGGUGCCAUCAGCACCAUUCUAAUCUUAAUGAUUUUGUAAUAAGUAAGGCCACAUGCAGAUAAAAUAAGCAGUACUUAGGAGUGGGGAGGCAUUUGUGCAGGGAGGGGGGUGGAGAAGGCUGAGGUCAGGAGGGAAGACACUGCUCUGUGAUCAAUACAGAAGAGAGCUUGGCUUGAGUGGUACAGCUUCUCAUGCUGCAGUGUGCACGCACAUCACCUGGGGAUCUUGUUAAAAUGCAGAUUCUAGCUCAGUAGGUCUGGGGAAGGGCCUGGGAUUCUGCAUUUCUAAAAGGCUCCCAGUUGACAUCAACAUUGUUGGUCCAUAGUUCACAUAACAGAACCCUUGCCUCUCCUUCUGGCAUGGGUACUCCAAGUGUAGAUAAACUAUAUAUUCAUGAGUCCAUGUCACCUGUUCUACCAGGUAGAAUUGGUGCCUAGUAAGAAGCUCCAGGAAUGGGCAACAGUAGAAGUCAUUCUCACUUUUGUGAAUUGGCUUGACUAGUCCUGUGGUCACUUGCAAUCUUGACCAGUUUCUCUACCCUUGCUUCCAUUAAAUCUAUUCAAAUGCGCUAGGAAAAGUAGAAGGAGGGGUCAGUGGAAAGAUUAUUUAUUAAGUAAAAAAAUAAUUUUACCUGGAUUAUGAAGAAGACACAGAGUAUGAUGUUGUUAAGAGUACAAAGCUUUAUCAGAGCUUUCCAGUCUUAAGAAGCUUAUGAUGUAGUGCAGGGGUUCUUAUCUCGAGAAAAGGGAAACCUAUAGCUCUGUAUCACUAAUCUCUAACUGAAAUUUAGCACUUCCUUGCAUUAUAAAAUUAGGCUACACCAUGGUAUUAGCAGAAAACCUGGUGGUUUAGUGGUUCAGUGCUACAGCUGCUAACCAAAAGGUUGGCAGUUCAAAUCCAGCAGGCGCUCCUUAGAACCUUAUAGGGCAGUUUACUCUGUCCUAUAGGGUAGCUAUGAGUCAAAAUUCACUCAACAGCAAUGGGUUUGGUUUUCUGGUUUAUGAUAUUAGCAAAAUAUACAACUUCAUCAUCACUAGAAAUCGCAUUUCAAACUACAUUAUUGUUGUAAAUAUCUCUAUAUAUCAUUUAUGUUCAUCUUUGAAAUUAUACUCAUUAUUAUACUGCCACUAGGUUUCACAUGGAAACCCUGGUGGCAUAGUGGUUAAGAAGUACCGCUGGUAACCAAAAGGUUGGCAGUUUGAAUCCAUCAGGCGCUUCUUGGAAACUGUAUGGGGCAGUUCUAUUCUGUCCUGUAGGGUCACUACCAGUUGGAAUCGACUCGAUGGCAACAGGUUUACGGGUUUUUUUUU